AUUGAACGCUGGCGGCAUGCCUUACACAUGCAAGUCGAACGGUAACGGGCCUUCGGGUGCCGACGAGUGGCGAACGGGUGAGUAAUACAUCGGAACGUGCCCGAUCGUGGGGGAUAACGAGGCGAAAGCUUUGCUAAUACCGCAUACGAUCUACGGAUGAAAGCAGGGGACCGCAAGGCCUUGCGCGGACGGAGCGGCCGAUGGCAGAUUAGGUAGUUGGUGGGAUAAAAGCUUACCAAGCCGACGAUCUGUAGCUGGUCUGAGAGGAUGAUCAGCCACACUGGGACUGAGACACGGCCCAGACUCCUACGGGAGGCAGCAGUGGGGAAUUUUGGACAAUGGGCGCAAGCCUGAUCCAGCCAUGCCGCGUGCAGGAUGAAGGCCUUCGGGUUGUAAACUGCUUUUGUACGGGACGAAAAGCCUUCUUUUAAUACAGGAGGGUCAUGACGGUACCGGAAGAAUAAGCACCGGCUAACUACGUG
rnacentral:rRNA from 1 species